rnacentral:rRNA from 1 species
CGGAUCCGCGCCGCUGCAGAGUUUGAUCCUGGCUCAGGAUAAACGCUGGCGGCGCACAUAAGACAUGCAAGUCGAACGGAAGCCGUUAUAAUGGAAACAGAUUGAAGGAUUUAUCUGGAUAGAAGUAGAAGCUAUAACAAUGACUUUAGUGGCGGACUGGUGAGUAACGCGUGAGCAACCUGCCUAUUAGAGGGGAAUAACAGUGAGAAAUCAUUGCUAAUACCGCAUAAGCUUGUAGAAUCGCAUGAUACAGCAAGAAAAGGAGUAAUCCGCUAAUAGAUGGGCUCGCGUCUGAUUAGCUAGUUGGUUAGGUAAAGGCUGACCAAGGCAACGAUCAGUAGCCGAGCUGAGAGGCUCUACGGCCACAUUGGGACUGAGAUACGGCCCAGACUCCUACGGGAGGCAGCAGUCGGGAAUAUUGCGCAAUGGAGGAAACUCUGACGCAGUGACGCCGCGUAUAGGAAGAAGGUUUUAGGAUUGUAAACUAUUUUAGACAGGGAAGAGAAAAGACUGUACCUGUAGAAUAAGCUCCGGCUAACUACGUGCCAGCAGCCGCGGUAAUACGUAGGGAGCAAGCGUUAUCCGGAAUUAUUGGGUGUAAAGGGUGCGUAGACGGGAACUUAAGUUGGUUGUGAAAUCCCUUGGCUUAACUGAGGAACUGCAACCAAAACUGGGAUUCUUGAGUGCUGGAGAGGAAAGCGGAAUUCCUAGUGUAGCGGUGAAAUGCGUAGAUAUUAGGAGGAACACCAGUGGCGAAGGCGGCUUUCUGGACAGUAACUGACGUUGAGGCACGAAAGUGUGGGGAGCAAACAGGAUUAGAUACCCUGGUAGUCCACACUGUAAACGAUGGAUACUAGGUGUAGGAGAUGAUUUCAUCAUCCGUGCCGAAAGCAAACGCAAUAAGUAUCCCACCUGGGGAGUACGGCCGCAAGGUUGAAACUCAAAGGAAUUGACGGGGGCCCGCACAAGCAGUGGAGUAUGUGGUUUAAUUCGAAGCAACGCGAAGAACCUUACCAGGGCUUGACAUACAGAUGAAUACAUAAGAGAUUAUGUAGUGUUUUUAAUACAUCUAUACAGGUGGUGCAUGGUUGUCGUCAGCUCGUGUCGUGAGAUGUUGGGUUAAGUCCCGCAACGAGCGCAACCCCUGUUCUUAGUUGCCAGCAUGUAAAGAUGGGAACUCUAAGGAGACUGCCGGUGAGAAAUCGGAGGAAGGUGGGGACGACGUCAAAUCAUCAUGCCCUUUAUGUCCUGGGCUACACACGUACUACAAUGGCCGCAACAAAGAGAAACGAAACAGUGAUGUGGAGUAAAACUAGAAAAACGGUCUCAGUUCGGAUUGAAGGCUGAAAUUCGCCUUCAUGAAGUCGGAAUUGCUAGUAAUGGCAGGUCAGCAUACUGCCGUGAAUACGUUCCCGGGCCUUGUACACACCGCCCGUCACACCAUGAGAGUUGGAGAUACCCGAAGCCUGUGAGCUAACUUUUAGAGGCAGCAGUCGAAGGUAGAGCCAAUGAUUGGGGUGAAGUCGUAACAAGGUAA